rnacentral:lncRNA from 1 species
AUAUAACCAAUUGUAGCCAUUGUCAUGGUUUGUGUCACAGAAUCUUCUCCUUCACCUAAGAGUUUGGAAAUGCCGAAGUCGCUCACAUGUGCCACCAUAUUUUCAUCCAAGAGAAUGUUGGUGGGCUUCAAAUCACAAUGAAUUAUAGGUGCCGACGAAUGACCAUGAUGGAGAUAUUCAAGGGCCGACCCCACAUCUAUCAUUAUGUUCAACCUCUCUAGGAUGUCUAAGAAAUAGUUGUGAGAAUAUAACCACUUCUCGAGACUACCAUUUGGCAUGAACUCAAGUACCAAUGCUUUAAAAUCUUGAUUAGAACAACUGCUAAGGAUCUUUAUGAGAUUUCGAUGACGAACAUUCAGUAAAACUUCACAUUCAGAAUCAAAACUCCUAAAUGCUCUCUCUAGUUGCAGAUUGAAAACCUUUAUCGCAACAUCAGUCCCGUCGGAAAUGGUUCCUUUAUAAACUGAUCCAAAGCUACCUGUACCAAGCAAGUUACAUUCAUUAAAUUCAUCAGUUGCUCGUUGAAUGUCUAGGUAGGAUGUUCUUCUCCAUGUUGCAAGAGGUAGGAAAUCUUCGUGAUCUGAUUUUUUUGUACUCCUCUUUCGGCAUCUUAUGUACAUAAUGAUGAUAAUCACUAUAAGUACAGAGGAUACUAUCGGAGGCAAAAUAUAUUUAAGGACAAUUAGAGCAACGUUUUUGGUGCUUUUGCUGUCACCUUGUUUGCAAGGUGGGACUCGGAAUUUAGGUGGACCACAGAGUGCAUAAUUUCCGAAAAAUGAUUCAGCUGACAAGUUUUUAAAAGACCCCUUAACAGGAAUUUCCCCUUCUAGCCUAUUAUGAGACACAUUAAAUUGUUUGAGAUGUGAAAGUGUCUCCAAUGACUUAGGAAUUUUUCCAGAGAGAUUGUUGCCAGAGAGAUCUAAGGAUUCUAAGCUUAUCAAACUACCAACUGAUUCAGGAAUAGGUCCUUGAAAUUGAUUACUAGCCAAUGAUAGAGUUUCUAUAUCUUUGAGGGCACCGAUGGUUGAUGGAAUAUCACCUGAUAAUUGAUUCCUUGAUAAAUCUAAAACUCUCAAGACCUUUAACUUUUGUACAUUGGAAGGGAGAGAAUCAUUUAACGAAUUUGACGACAAGUUUAUCUCUAAGAUGUACUCAAGGCUCCACAAGGAUGACGGUAUACUAGAAGUGAGCUUGUUGGAGCCUAAGUGGAGUUCUCUUAGAGAUGUCAGACUCGCCAAGCAUGGUGGUAUAUGUCCAGAGAGCUUAUUUCCAUUUAACAUUAUUCCGUACAUCAACUCCAAGUGGCAAAGAUCAUAGGGAAUGGAUCCUUCCAAAUUAUUUUCUUCAAGAGAUAAACCUUGUAGCCGCUUAAGUCUUCCCAUCGUUGGUGAAAUAGUUCCAUUCAAGUCAUUGAAGCCGAGGCUUAAGAGGAUCAGGCCACGCAACUUACCAAUUUCUUUAGGAAUGCUGCCCCCGAGUUUGCAGUUGGAUGCAUAAAAUUGUCGAAGAGAAGCAGAGAAAUUUCCAAUUACUGGUGGAAGGAUGCCACCCAAUGGAUUAUAAGCUAAGGCUAAAACUGUUAAAUUUCUGCAAUUAGUCAGAGAAGAGAGAAAACUCCACUGAUCUGCUGAAGAUGAUUCUGUCGUCAAGUUAUUAAAUGCUAAGCCAAGCACGCCGAGGUGUCUCAAGUUGCCAAAUGUAUUUGGAAUAUGGCCUGAGAAUGAGUUAAAGCUCAAUUCUAGGCCAAUGAGUUUAGAAGCGUUUGUGAUGGAGUUGGGAAUUUUUCCGGUAAGGUUAUUGGCCGCCAAGGUUAAAUACUCUAUGCUCGGAAGCGAGUGGCCAAUCGUUGAUGGUAAGUGGCCUGAAAGUUGAUUGCUAAUUAGAUUAAGGACUGUUAGGGUUGAAAUGUUGAAGAUUGUGGGUGGAAUGGGGCCACUUAAAUUAUUCGCACUAAGAACAAGGGUAUCCAAAUUUUGUAGAUUGCCAAUCUCAGUUGGAAUUUGACCUGUCAUAAAGAUAAACGCCAAAUUGAUGAGUUAUUGAGCUUUUUACUUAACAUAAAUUUUAAUUUCAUAACGCAUGAAAAUCAAAUUUGCCCACAAAAUGUGUGUUAUUAGUUUUAUAAUUUUUUUUUGGGUUUUUUUUGGGGGGGGGGGGGGGGAGAUUGAUAUUGCUACCUCAUAAUUUUUGUAAAACCCCACCCGCUUUCAGAGAAUUAUUGGAACAAGAUUCUUAAAAAAAUUCAAAUAAAGAAGAAGUUUGGAGAAAUAAUCAAUUAAAUCCAUCUUAAUAUACUUUUUGAAACUUAUAUUCUUUUAUCAUAUAUAAUAACUAAGGUUGCUUUAACAUAAAUUUAAUAUAACUAGUCUACUCUCAUAAGGUAGAAUUACUAAAAUACCCACAAAUUUACUUCAACUUCAACUAAACUAACAAAAUGUAUUUGUUGACAUGUGGGGAACUAAAAAUUAUUGAAUUUUAUUUUAGAAAUAUUGUAUUACAAAACAUAAAACAAAAUGCCGAAACUAUAUAUUAGAUACAAUAGUACAUGUUUUUCGGGGUAAUUUGGUCAUUUUAUAUUAUAAGAGUAAAAUAGUCAAAUUAAACUUAUUUUAAAGCAACCGUAAACGGUCAAAGAUUGUUAAAAGCCCUAAGUCAUAAAAGAAAAACAUUAUAAAAAUAAUUUAUUAAUUGUUCAGACUUAAUUUAUAAUUUUAUAACAUAAUGUGAACUUAUUAUAACUAUCUUUUCAAAAUGAGGUGGGUUUGCAAGAAUAAUGAGUGGAAAUAUCCCCACCCUAUAAAAUAAAAAGAAUUUUGCAGCUAUGCAAAUGCAAAUAUGUAGAACGUACCUUGUAGGUUGUUAUAACCUAGAUUCAGAAUGAAAAGGCUGCUAAAAUUUCCUAUCCCUGAAGGAAUAUUUCCAUCAAUAACGUUGUAGAUUGCGUCGAACACCUCCAGCUUCGAUAAAUUGAGGAGAGAAUUUGGGAUUGGACCCGUGAAACUGUUAUUAUAAAGCCUCAACGUUUGUAAUUUGGAUAAGACACCAAUCCAUGUUGGAAUGCUUCCACUCAAUUUAUUGAAACCGAAUCUAAUGAAUCUGAGUCGGCGUAAUUGCCCCAAUUCAUUAGGCAGAUGGCCAUGAAAAUUAUUAUGAGCAACAUCAAGAGAUACUAAGAACGUGAGAUUUCCCAAGUGUAGUGGAAUGGUGCCUCCGAGACCCAUAUCUGAAAGAUUCAAGGCAGUGACUCUUUGAUGGCGUGAACCACAAGAGAUACCAACCCAGCUACAUAUUGGAUAAGAUAUAGACCAAUUAUUUGUCAGAUCACUUCGAUAAUCAACGACACGGGCUUUGAAUGCAAGAAGAGCCGAUUGAUCUGUUGUUAAGUUGCUCAAAGUCGUCAUAGCUAAGCUAGCUAUGGAAUAUUGUACCAACAACAUAGGAACAAAGAAGAAUGAUAAGCACAUAUUGGUCGUUUUUUUUUAUAGAUGCAGCAAUCUAAUUGCUAGGUGAAGUUGAUACAAGUUUUAAGUGAAGGAAACUAGCAUAUACUUAUACAAGAGACGUAUGAAUUUGAAAACAAGAAAAGAAAAAAAUGUACAGGAGAGUGGAGACAUGCAAAUUGGUAUAUUUCAUCAUUGAGCGAGUCGUCCAAGUAAACUCAUACAGACCUGUAAAUUGUUAUAGGCCGCGGUACUUGAACCGUGAAUAAAGGGCUUAUGGCACUUGACUUACCAAAAAGAAGAAGAUGCUCAACAUUGGCAAGGCCUAUGCAUUCUGUCCAUUUGUUCACGUUUUGCCAAGGCUCAGGGCAACCACAAUAUGUUCUUUUUCUUCCCUCUUAAAACAAAAAACAAAAAAAAAAGACGACAUUUACAUUUGGGCUAAUAAUUAUAACUAAACAAUUAAUAAUACUGAGGGUCAGUGGUAAUGUAGCUUUAAAAUAAUUGUUAUUAGUUGUGUCUUAAAAAUAAAGAAAAAAAAUAACUAUACCCAUAUAAUUAAUAAAAUAAUCAUGUAAAUUCCUAAGCUUUUAACAAUAUACACCAAGACCCCCUACCGUUACUUUUUACCAUUUAUUUGGAUGUCACAUGCUUUUUUUUUUUAAUUUUCACAGUGGAUAUCAAAUGCUAAAUUUACUGUUAUUCCCAUAUCAUGUCAUCACUUGCUUCUACACACAUUGAUUGUUUUUCCAAAGUUUCAAAUUGAAUUAAAAACAUUCUAAUUAACCUAAAAAAAACUCAUCCAACCAGAUAUAAAUCAUCUAAUUAACCUAAAGAUAGCUACACCCCCAUAUUAAUUCCAAUUAAAUAAAAUUCAUUUUUGUCAUGAUUUUGGAUCUCGAGCAGGGUGGAUAUAUCCAACUAGAUCCGCCCCAUUGGCAUUCCAGUAUAUUCUGUAAUUGGAAGAGUAUGAAUGACUUAAUUUGUAAUUUUAAAUUUGUAACGUUCAAUUCUAAUUUGAGGAUUCAAAUGAAUUUAUGCGAAUCUAAAAGGGGACUGAAGAUUGGCAUGCAUACAUGCAUACAUAUACAUAUAUAUAUAAAUAGAGAGAGAGAGAGAGAGAGAGAGAGAGAGAGGUAAUAUAACAUUCUUCUUGAUGAAGAUUUUUGUGCCAUACGAAUUAAAGAGAGUAUUGUGUCGAUGUUCGAGGCUAGAGCGACAAUUGGUUACAUUGCUUCAGAGGUGUUUAGUAGAAACUUUGGUGAGGCAUCACAUAAUUUAAAUUACUAGAUUUAGCGAGAUAUAUAUAUUUUCCACAUUGGAUUUACAAGCAUUUCGAGCAGUAUAAUGAAUUAAAAUUACUCGGAAUUGUAAACAGCGAGGAAAGUGAAAUUGCUAAGAAGAUGAAUAUUUUGUUGUUUUGUGGUGUACACGGACUCGUCCAUCGGAUAGGUCGCCCAUGAACAGAGGGAUAGAAAUGUUAUUGCCAAGAAGCAGACUGACUAGCAGUGACGCUUUGAAAAGUCCACCGGACAUCGUCUCCUCCAAGACCACCAAUAGAUUCUUCCACCAUUUCAACGUCGUGACGUGGGGAUCGGAAUUGAAUUAUAGGAUGCUUGUAAGUUUCCUUUGUGGAACUUGUGAAUUUGUGAUGGCAAAAGUCAAUGAUGCAUGUAACUAGCUAGCCCGUGUAGACUCCGUUUUACACUUUUUCAAAACCCAAAAGCACGCUAAAUCUUAAUCUUAAAAGAAUUUUUGAUUCAGUGCUGAAUUUUGGGCUUAUCUUUAAGUAAUCUUUUACCACGCAUGCAUUUUUGUCAUUGUGCAGUCAUCGAUUGCUUCUAAAGAUCGUAAUCCUUAAGAAAAAAUUACUUCUCUUGAAAGUGAAAGCAGGGCAGCUAUUGGCGUAUUGCAUUGCAGCUGCUAUGUGUAGUAGUCAAUUCUUGGAAACAACUAGUUUUCUUAAAUUGUAAACGGUCCCCUUUAUGACUGGGAGAUUUUGAACAAAAUUAAUAUGACGAAUUCUUUGCAGGUGUUGUUCCUUGAAGUCUCAUCUUUCACAAUGUUUCUGAAAUAAAGAUAUUACCAUCUCUGAUUUAAUAUUUAUUCUUGAUUUGUACCACCUAAUCUGAACUUGAUGAAAGAAUAAAGAUUAUGAUCUUGCCUGAUUUUAUUAAUGUGGUCUUAUCUCACGUAAGUCAGUAAUGAAUUAAGGAAAAUUAUCAUUCGUAUACCCUAUAAUUGCUCUGUUAUAAAAAAUACUACAACACUUUGAGGGUGUAUCAAUUGUCCACCCUAAGUUAACAAAAUGUAUCUGUCAUCCACCAAACCGUUAUUUGCCGUUUAAAUAGAAUGACACCAGAGGGGUAAUUUUAUCUUUUCAUAUGAUACAAGUGAUAAUUUAAGGGUAUACAAGUGAUAAUAAAAGAAUUUAAAGGUAUACAAGUGAUAAUUUUAUUUACUUUAAUUUAAGUUUCAAGGGUAAAAUCGUCAAUUCACUAUAAUUCCGUUAACUUUCAAACGGUAGCUAACGGUUUGGUGGUCGGCAGAUAGCUUUUGUUAAUUUAAGGUGGACGAUUGAUAUACUCUCAAAGUGUUGUAGUAUUUUUGAUAAUAGAGCAACUAUAGGAUAUAUGAUUGAUAAUUUCCCAUGAAUUAAUUAAAGUUUACUGUCAAAUUACAAACACAAAAACUGCUGCUGCUUCAUUAUUCACAAUACCUAAAGUCAGUGCAGAACUUAAUAAGUUUUCCAAAAGUUUUACGCUUUCUUUCCCCCAAAUCCCAAGUACUUACUAGAUAUGUCAUGUUUAUACCCAAAGUCAGUGCAGAACUUACUCGAUAUGUCAUGUUUACACAAGAGUUUGUUUAUAAAUAAAUGAGUUGACAAAUAUUUGCCAAAAAAAACGGUGAGUGAUGUCUAGUUCUAUUUUCACAGUUCAGAGUCCAAUUUUGAUUACUGGAAAUUUUAAUUAUGAAGUUGAACUAAGAAUUUGUUAUAAUAUCUUCAACCUUCCUAUACAGUCAUCUGGAAUAAUAAUAUAUCAAAAACAGUAAUAACUCGAUUUACAGGGUGAGAAAGAAAAGAAAGACGCUACGAGGGAAGCAGAGAUUCAAAGACUUCGCCACUUUGUUGGAGGAACAAUUUCAUAAAUCUCCAGAAUAUUGACAUAAAACACAUAACAUACAUAUCUAGCAUUAAGUAUAUUUAUGUAUGUCCAAAGAUAAAAAUUUGAAGAUUAAAUUUAUCAUUUCAAUUUAUGUUCUGCCCAAAGCAAUGGCUUUUAUUCCACAAGCACAAACAAGAAAGAGUACGCACAAAGUUAACAAACACACAUAGCAAACGUGACAUCAACCACUUGCAGCAGCAUCAUCCAGAAACUUCACUCUAAUCUUCUUGAGCUUUUCAGCGGCGUCUUUCGUAGAUGCCCCCUGUUCUGGUGAUUCCAUGCAACAAUCCAAUGCCGAAUGCAUGAUGCUUAAUAAACAAUUCAUUUUAGGAGAAAAAACUUGCUCUUCUCUCACCAAGUUUGCAUCGACAACAUCACUCAAGGCACGAGGUAAUGACUCCCUUACCCAGUCUCUUAAACUUAUUUCUCCUGUAAACAUUUCAUUUGUGGGAUUCUUUCUGGUGAAAGUUUCCAUCAAUAAAACACCAUAACAAUAGACAUCACCUUUGGCCGAAAUCAUUCCUUCUAAUCCUUACUCUGCAUUUUUUUGGUUUCGAUAGAUCAAAUGGAUGUGACAUCAUAAAACAAAUGAUAAACAAAUAGUCUUUUGACAGUCAAGAUGGCCCAAACUUUGACUGUGCUUCGAAAAGAGCGAAAAUUUGAAAUUAUAAUUGAAACCUUACCUGGUGCCAUAUAACCAGUUGUAGCCACUGUCAUGAUUUGGGUCACAGAAUUUUCUUCAUCACCUAAGAGUUCGGAAAUGCCGAACUCACAUGUGCCACCAUAUUUUCAUCCAAGAGAAUGUUGCUAGGCUUCAAAUCACAAUGAAUUACAGGUGCUGAUGAAUGAUCGUGAUGGAGAUAUUCAAGUGCCAGCCGCACAUCUAUCAUUAUAUUCAACCUCUCUAGGAUAUCUAGGAAAUAGUUGUGUGAACACAACCAUUUCUCAAGACUACCAUUGAGCAUGAACUCAAGCACCAGUACUUUAGAAUCUGGAUUGCAACAGCUGCUAGUGAUCUUUGUGAGAUCUUGAUGACGAACAUUCCACAAUACUUCACAUUCAGAAUCAAAACUCCUAAAGGCUCUCUCUAGCUGCAGAUUGAAAACCUUUAUUACAAUAAUAGUCACAUCAUAAAGUGUGCCUUUAUAAACAGAUCCGAAGCUCUCCAUACCUAGCAGGAUACAUUCACUAAAUCCAUCAGCUGCUCGUUGAAUAUCAUGAUAGGAUAGUCUUCUCCAUGUUGUCGAAGAGAACAAAUCUUCUUUAUCUGGAGUUCUUGUUUUCCUAUUUUGAAAUAUUAUGAAGAAUCAUAACAAUUGUUAUUAGUGCAUUGGAUAUAAUCGAAGGCAAAGUAUAUUUCAGGACAAGCAGAGUAGCAUUCUUGGAUCCUUUGCUAUUAUCUUCUUUGCAAGGUGGGACUUGAAGGCCUGGUGGACCACAUAGUGCAUAAUUCUCAAAAAACGAUUGAGCUGAAAUGUUUUUAAAAGGUCCUUUGAUAGGAAUUCCCCCUUCUAGCCUAUUGUGAGACACAUUAAGUUGUUUGAGAUAUGAGAGUGCCUCCAUUGACUUUGGAAUUUCUCCAGAGAGAUUGUUGCUAGGGAGAUCCAAAGAUUCCAACCUUAUCAAACUACCAAAUGAUUUAGGGACCAGACCAUAAAAUUGGUUUCUAGCCAAGGACAAAGUUGCUAGAUCUUUGAGGCCACCAAUACUUACUGGUAUAUCACCUGAUAAUUGAUUUCUUGAUAAAUCAACUCUAUUAAGACCUUUAAGUUUUGUACAUCUGAAGAUAGAUGACCACUUAGAGAAUUUGUUGACAAGUUUACAUACAAGAUGUACUCAAGAUUCCACAAGGAUGAUGGGAUACUAGAAGUGAGCGUGUUGCAGCUUACAAAGAGUGUUUUUAAGGAAUUGAAUAUCUGAAAUCUUGUAUGUAAAUAUUAACACUUAGAGAAUUUGUUGACAAGUUUUUAAGGAUUUACUGAUUAAAUAAUUUUCCAAUUUGUUUGCCUGGAGGAAUUGAAUAGUUAACUGAUUAAAGGAUUUCAAGGUGGUUAGGUCCAGCCGAGCAUUGUAAAUAUUAACGGUCAUUAUGAAUGUGUAAUUCCUAUAUGUGAAAUUGAAUUUCCAUGGUAAAUUUCUGCUAGGGUGUGAUUGUAUGGUAGCCAAUUGUGAGCAACAGAUCCACAUAGUAAUAUAGACUGAAAUUUUGCGUCUUAAGCCAUGAAGAUAUAGAUUUUGGCAAAUAUUAUACAAGCAUUGUUUGCAACACCACAGCUAAUUUGCAGUAGGAUGAAACACUCAGAAUUUUGCCUUUUUCAUGUAUAAAAUUUUAUUUUUUUAAUUGUGAUAUUACAGUUUUGCCCAUCAAGCAUUAUGAAGCUUAAUAUUUGGAUAAAUGUUAGGUUUAAUCUAUAAAUUUUAACUUCAGUGUUUAUUUAGUUUUUAUAUUUUGUAAAAUAUCUCAAGGCAGCCCUAUUAUCAAAUAUUGGCUUGAUCCGUAUAUAUUAACUUCAGUGCUUUAUUUAGGUUUUAUAUUUUGAAAAAUACUUUAAGGCAGUUCUAUUAUCAAAUAUGUUAUGCUCUUGCUUUUAUUUUUUCUUUGUUUUUAUAAUAAUACUCUGAUAACAAUAUUUUUUUACAUUAAUUUUUUAAUCAAUAAAAAGGUAACUAGCAAAUUAACUGAUAAAUUAAUUUGUUAAUUUUUUUAAUCAAUAAAAAAUUUAAUUAAUAAAUUACUUGGUAGCAAAUUAAAAAAUAAAUAUUAGCAUAAAACAAUUGAUAUUUUUCAUUCUCUUACAACAAUCUUACUAAUAAUUUUUUUAUAAAAAAUUAAUUUAUUAAAUUAAUCCUUAAAAGUAAAAUAAUAAUAAUUAAUUUGUAUCUUAGUUUUAAAGUUAAUUUGAUAAAUUCAAUUUUUUAAUUAAUAUCUCCAAAAAUAUAGUUGCAACGAUAUUAUUGCAAAAGUAAAAAAAAAAAUAUAUAUAGAAUUUUAAUAUAACUGCCAGUAAAAAUAACUUGAAAUAUUUUUUAAGAUAUAAAAAUUAAACCAACACUUAAUUAAAAAUAUAAAGAAUUAAAUAAACAUUUAUCUUCUAACAUUUCAACCUACUGGCUAAUGGUCAUACAAUCGUGGUGUGGUCCGGGAUGCCCGGCCCAGCCCAUCAUGCAAAAAGCCAUGUCACCCAUAUUCUUAGGCUGCUACUGCAUUAAAAAAAUGAUAUUAAUAAGCGUACGCCACGUCACUCCUCACUCUCUUCUUCGUCACUUUCCUCUCACUCAACAUUUUCUCCCCAAACAAAUUCCUUCUUUGAAAAAUCGCAUUUUCUCCUUCACAGCAACAGCUACAAUGUCUUCAACUUCCAAAAAGGUGAUUUUUUUUUAAUUUUAUUUUUUGUUUAGUUUCUUUCUGUUGCCUUUUUGUUUCGUUUUUUGAAUUUUCUGUGUCGUUUUUUUCCCCCAAGGUUUUGGUGCCUGUUGCGAACGGGAGUGAGCCGAUUGAGUCCGUGAUAACGAUCGAUGUUUUGAGAAGGUCUGGAGCUGACGUCACGGUUGCGUCUGUGGAGAAACAGCUCCGUGUCGACGCGUGUCAUGGUGUCAAGAUUGUCGCUGAUGCUCUCGUGUCUGACUGCCGCGACGCCGUUUUUGAUCUUAUAGCUCUUCCCGUAUGUAUUGCAGCUCUCCUCAGCUCGUGCUAAUUUAUGUGAUGUUUGUAUAAUUAUAGAUGAUUACUGCUGAUACUGAAUGUUAAGCUAAAUAAUUCGUUCUUAAGUCAUCUUCAUUUAAUUUUCGAUUGAAAAUGAAAAAAAUAAUAAUUUUAAGCAAAGAAAAAUAUAGAAAAUGUUUAUUUUGUUUAAUUUUCAAUUUUUAAUUUUCAGGGAUUUCAUUAUUGUGACUGUUAUCAUUCAUUAUAUGGUCAUAGUUAAAUGUUUCAAAUUGUUGUAGUCAGUGAAAUUCUUUUCGAUAUUUAUUCUGGCAUGUAUAUUUUUCCUUUUCAAUUUCUUUUGUUGCUGAUUCUUUGAUUAUGUUAUAUCCUUUUUUGUUUCCCUUGUAGGGUGGCAUGCCCGGUGCUACCAAUCUGAAGGAAUCUGAAGUAUUAGAAAGCAUUGUGAAGAAGCAGGCCUCAGCUGGGCGUCUUUAUGCUGCUGUCUGUGCUUCACCUGCUGUGGCAUUAGGGUCUUGGGGUCUGUUGAAGGGAUUGAAGGUAAGAGUUAGAUAAGCCUUUUUGAUGUUUUGUGGUCUUUUGGGAAUUGCACUGAUAUUUUUGUUAUGGUUCAGUUUUCUUCUCGCUGAUGAUUGUUAAGUUCUAAUUUAUGUAGUUGUUCAUUUUUCCUAGGCUACUUGUUAUCCGUCAUUUAUGGAGCAACUAGCUCCUGCUUGUGCAGCAUGUUGAAUCAAGAGUACAGCAGGAUGGUAAAGUUGUUACGAGUCGUGGACCGGGCACUACCAUGGAGUUUGCCGUUGCACUUGUUGAGCAGUUGUAUGGGAAAGAGAAAGCUGAUGAAGUUUCUGGGCCACUGGUAUUAGCUUUUAUAGAUAACGUUGUUUAAAAAAAUUAUGAGUUAUAUAAUUUGUGGAAGCUUCAGAUGCUAAUGUAUUCAAGAAAAUAAGUUCAGGGGAAGAGUAUGACUUUUUGCAUUAGUGAUUCAUUAGAUGAAAUUGUAUACCUGCUGGUCCAUCAUAAGGUGGUGAAAACAAUGUUUGAUUUAAUUAAUGAAAUCCUGAAAUAUGCAUUUGUUGAGCUUCAAUGUCUCCACUGAUAAAAUUCUUUUUAAUGUAAGUUCUUUCUCUUGGUAUUGUAUUUGAAUUUUCUGUUCCUCAUGCUUUCGUCUUUACUGUCACCUUGUGCCUAGGUAAUGCGUGCAAAUCAUGGAGAUGAAUACACUAUUGCUGAGUUCAAUCCAAUUCAGUGGACAUUUGACAAUUCUCCUCAGGUGAGAUUGGACUGUUAGUUUCUUGUAUUUGUUUUUCUUCUUCCAUGUUUUGAGGGAUACCCAUUUGGCAGUAAAUAAAAAUCUGUGAUAUCUUCUAUACAUGUACAUAUACAUCAUUGACUUCACUCAUUUGUGAACAUAUUGGAGGUAGUAGAUUUAUUGUUAUGAUAUGUCUAAUAAAAUCCAAAGUUCGAUGCAACUACAAAAGAAGUAUGAGCAGUGCUCGACCAGAGAGGAAAAAGGUGGUUUUUUUCUUUUUUUUUUUUGGGGGGGGGGGGGGGGUUGGUUGGGUGGCAAAGGGAAUGAUAAGUUCAGGGUAUCAACAAGCUGUAAAAUGGCUAUCGAAAAACUGAUAUUUCACAUUAGAGAAUGUGAGGACCUGAAGAUUGCUGACUUGUGGUCAAAAUGGAAUUCUUGAUAACUUUAAAUGUUAAAAAUUCUUGGUGAAAAUUUUGUACUUUUUUUUCUUUCAGAUUCUUGUGCCUAUUGCGAAUGGUUCAGAGGAGAUGGAAGCUGUUAUAAUAAUUGAUAUUCUGCGACGAGCUAAAGCAAAUGUUGUGGUUGCGUCAGUUGAGGAUAAACUAGAAAUUCUGGCUUCUCGUCAAGUUAAAUUAGUGGCAGAUAUGCUUAUUGAUGAGGCAGCUAAACUUUCGUAUGAUUUGAUUGUCUUGCCAGUAAGUGGGGUUGCUAACUCUUGCCUCAUAGUCUUUACCAAAUUAUUGACUUACUAGCUACAAUUUAUCUAUGCACAGGGUGGACUUGGUGGUGCUCAAGCAUUUGCGAAGUCAGAAAAAUUGGUAAAUAUGCUAAAGAAGCAAAAGGAAUCAAAUAGACCUUACGGUGCUAUAUGUGCAUCCCCAGCACUAGUGUUGGAGCCCCAUGGCUUACUCAAGGUAUGACCAUUUCUGCUUAAAUAUUUAUUCUUGAUUUGAAUCACCUAAUCUGAACUUGAUAAAACAUUGUGAUCUUGUGUGAUUUUAUGAACGUGGUCUUAUCUCAUGUAAGUCUGUAAUGAAUUUAUUGAAGUUUGCUGACAAAUUACAAACUCAAAAACUGCUGCUGCUUCAUUAGUUACAGUACCCAAGGAGUUAUGAUAGACAUCCCAAACUUUUUACCCCAAAUUCCCUCUCAAAUGACAUGGUAGUUAUUAAGUGGUUGGUAAUUUUUUAUAAGAUAUAAGUGAAUUAAUUAAUUAUAUUAUUUAAUCAACCAAUUGAUGAAUGUCACGCCAUUUGAGAUGAAUUUUUGGGAUGUGUAGCAAAACUUUAUGCUGAUUUGUUUUGGCUACAUUCAUGUAAAACAUUUUUCCCCAAAUCCCAAGAACUUCCCGCAAUAUCAUUCCUUUGUAUUUGUUUUCCCCUUUAGACAUGUUUAACUUUGGUUCAGGGUAAAAAGGCUACGGCUUUUCCUGCCAUGUGCAACAAGCUAUCAGAUCAAAGUGAAAUCGAAAACAGGGUUGUGGUUGAUGGCAACCUUAUCACCAGCAGAGGGCCAGGAACUUCCAUGGAGUUUGCACUGGCAAUUGUGGAGAAGUUUUUUGGCCGCAACAAAGCACUUGAGCUUGCAAAGAUAUUGCUUUUCACCCGCACCUAAAAUUUGUACCAGGACCCGACUAAUAUUAAACUAGAGUGUUUAUUUCUGUAUUACUACUGCUUGUAGAGAGGCGAAAUGGAAACUUGAAUUCAUGUUUGAAUAGGGAUUCACUGUGCGGGUUUGUACAAGAGCUUGUUUAUAAAUAAAUGAGUUCAUAAAGAGUCAUUUUAAAUAUUUGGAAUAAACGUGAGUUGCUGUUUAGUUCUGUUUUCAAUGUUCACCGUUCAAUUGUGAUCCAGAGCAAUAUAACUACACUCACUGGGAAUUUUAAUUAUGAACCAAGAACGAAGUUGAACCGAGAAUUUGAUACUUUAUAUAUUCCAGUUACCAUAUUUAAGAAAGAGUAUUGAAAAGAAAGACGCUAAGAGAGAAUAUUGAAGUUAAACAGAUACCAUAUCUAGUAUUAAGUCUGUAUGCCAAAGUUACAAAUUCGAAGAUCAGAUUCCUCAUUUCAAUUUAUGUUCUGCUCAAAACAAUGGCUCUUAUUCCACAAGCACAAACAAGAAAGAGUACGAACAAAGUUAACAGAGACACGCAGUGAAAAUUACGCUAAUUGGUUGCAGCAGCAUCAUCCAGGAACUUCACUUUAAUCCUCUUGAGCUUUGCUGCAGCGUCUGUCAUAUUUAUCCUCAUGUCGGGUGACUCCAUACAACAAUCCAAUGCCAAAUCCAUUAUGCUUAAUAUACAAUCCAUUUUGGCAGAAAAAGCUUGCUCUUCUCGCACCAAAUUUGCGUCAACAACUUCACUCAAUCCGUGAGGUAAUGACUCCUUUACCCAUGUCCUUAAACUCGUUUCUCCUGUGAACAUUUCAUCGGUGGGCCUCUUUCUCGUGAAAGUUUCCAUUAAUAAAACACCAUAGCUGUAGACAUCACAUUUAGCUGAAACAAUUCCUUCUGAUCCAUACUCUGCAUUUUUUUUAAUUUCAAUUAUGAAACAAAUGAUAAAACAAAUAAGUUUUUGAUAAUUAAGGUAACCCAAACUUUGCUCGUACUUGAAAAAAGAGUAAAAAUUUUAAUUACAAUUGAAACUUUACCUGGUGCCAUAUAACCAAUUGUAGCCAUUGUCAUGGUUUGUGUCACAGAAUCUUCUUCUUCACCUAAGAGUUUGGAAAUGCCGAAGUCGCUCACAUGUGCCACCAUAUUUUCAUCCAAGAGAAUGUUGGGAGGCUUCAAAUCACAAUGAAUUAUAGGUGCCGACGAAUGACCAUGAUGGAGAUAUUCAAGAGCCGACCCCACAUCUAUCAUUAUAUUCAACCUCUCUAGAAUGUCUAAGAAAUAGUUGUGAGAAUACAACCACUUCUCGAGACUACCAUUUGGCAUGAA